GUCCACGCCGUAAACGAUGUCUGCUAGCCGUGGGGUCCUUGAGGCCUCGGUGGCGCAGCUAACGCGAUAAGCAGACCGCCUGGGGAGUACGGCCGCAAGGUUAAAACUCAAAUGAAUUGACGGGGCCCGCACAAGCGGUGGAGCAUGUGGUUUAAUUCGAUGCAACGCGAAGAACCUUACCAGGUCUUGACAUCCAGCGAACUGCCCAGAGAUGGGCGGGUGCCUUCGGGAACGCUGAGACAGGUGCUGCAUGGCUGUCGU
rnacentral:rRNA from 1 species